CCGCCGUUGUGGUCGAACCCAACCACCACCAUCGCAAGCUCUGUCGCCACUACUGGAGGUGGGUUGCUGAGCCUUUGUCGCCGGAAAGCGGCGUUGCCGUAGCUGAGGUCCAUUACCGUUGCCAUCGCUGAGCUUCUAGGCUCUUGGACGGUACUGUGGCCGCUAGAACCUUGGUUUGAGCCGCUAUCGUUUUGUAUGGUCGUUGCUCCUUAGUUAUGGGUCAUGUUCCAGUUAUUACGAGUUGUGAUUGAAGCUACCGCUGCUGCGGGCCAGGACAAAAAAGGAGUUUUGACGCGUUCCAUAGCUUUCGGGUUUCGAUAAUCAAGGAGACGGAUGACGAGGCUUAUGAAGAGUUUUAUUGCGUUUUGUUUAUUCGAUGUUAUUAUUUUAGUUAUUAGUUACUUUUCCCUCGCCUUUAUCUUUACGAGUUUUUAUAAGAAGGAUAUGGAUUUGAUUAUGUAAUGCUUGUAAAAUUAUUAAUAUUUUUAUAUAUAUGUUUCCUUUGUAAGUAUUGAUAUUUGUAUGGAUGCAUGUUAUCUUUUAAAAAGUCUUUUGGGUGGUAAUAUGAUUUAAGUUUUAAACAGGCUCA